UCCACUGUGUACUUGUACAUAGAUGGAAUGACAAUAAAAGCCUCUCGACUUGAGAAAUACUAAGUAAAUUUUAACCAAUGUACUCGCCUUUAAAUCCGCGCAUGCGCGUUGAAGGCGACAUGAUAAGCGUCAUUUUUGAGCAGAGCUGUUUGGAGGCGCCGCGGAGGUGUGGCUGCAUGACUGGAUUCUCACGGGUGUAAGCCGUAAGCUAUCCUGUUAUCCGCAGCCUCAUACUGUACCUUCGCGAGAAAGAAGAAGUACUUUUUGAAGAUUGCCUGGUGGACAACCGCAGUGAUGUCACUGAACACAUCCUCAAGAUCUUGGUCAUCCAUGGUGCUGAUGGAGAGGAUCCAGUGGACGUAUCCGUCCUUCUUGACGGUGCAGAGAUCUUGCCGGGAUGCUGCAACACUGCUAAAGCUUGCGCGCUGCUCAUGGGGCUAAUUUAUGCUCUCAAUCAUACCCUCCAACACUGCCAUACACUUUUGAGGUGUUCCAGAAGCUUUUUCUGGAAAUGGAUGUGAUUAAACUGUCCCCAAAGGUACAAGCUUUAAAGUUGAAGUUACUAUCUUAAAUAUUUUUGCAGUGCAAGUACUACAUCUGCUGCUGGUACACUCCAAUUCAUUUUUCCAUCUGCAAAUGACUGACAGCUCCACUGGUCCCUCCCCUCACAUACAGCAGUUUGUCUUUACAUGGAACUUCCACUGUCCAGACACACACUUCCGUUUCCCCCAUUUGAAAUCUGUGCUUGGCACAAGUGACAUGCACUUGACAAAUAUUUUUGGGGGUAAAAUGAUUUCCUGUUUUCAUACUUAAGGAUAAUUACCAUGCUUUUGAGUUAAACCUCACCUGACUGCUUUGUGAAGCAUUGCUCAUUUUUCCCCUUUUUCAUUUUUGCUCGGCAAGUCAUGCCUCUCAGCUCUUUCCUAUUGGUAAGCCCUCACUCUUGUGUAGUACCCCCUGUAUUUCUUUUGAUAUUUAUUACAGUUCAAACGGUAAAGUAACAUUUUAUUUAUCUAGAACUGUUAAAGGGAAUUCUAUUGAGGCAAUGAAAGUCAGAAAUGUUUACAGUGGUGGUGACGGGAACAAGACAUCCAGGUCUAAAAGCUCCCUAACAAACUUGGAUGAAAAUGCUGCUUGAUGUGGGAGGCAUUGCUAUUAUGGUAGGUGUACAUGAGUUUGUUCUAAAACGUGAUCAAUGUAUUUUAUUCUAGGUGGUGGCAUUAUGUCUAGGGUGUUGACAGUUAUUUUAGAUUUUCCACAGUUUUACCAUCACUUUUAUUCAUUUACUCAAAAACCUCCUGAGGCCCAUGUAGAGUCACUGGUAGUUUUGGAUAGUAAAUAAAUGGCUGUAGUUAUGUUAUGUGCAUGGCAACCCAACUGUAAUGAAAUAUUUAAGUUUCUCUGUUCUGAGCCAUUGCACAUCGAACCACUCAGUUACUCUUCAACCACUGAAGUAUACAGACAGUUUGAUAAAUCUGUGGAAUUCCUUUUUAACACCUCUGGAUGUUCAUAAAUGGUUGCAGUGUUCCAGAGGGUUCAGAGGACUGUUUUAAUUUAAUAUUUUAAAAGCACCAAAGCUGUUGAAUGUAGUAGAUUUAGGCAAGACCAAGAUAAUAUUGACCCAAACAAUUUUUUUGCAACAUUUACUGACAAGAGCAUGACUGUUUAAGUUAUAGUGUACAGUAUAAUAUACUGCAUAAUCCUUGCAUGCAAGAACAUUGGGUAGUGUUGGGUGGUGCUGA